rnacentral:rRNA from 1 species
GACGAACGCUGGCGGCGUGCCUAAUACAUGCAAGUCGAACGAACCGCGACUGAGUGCUUGCACUUGGUCAAGGUGAGUGGCGAACGGGUGAGUAACACGUGGGUAACCUACCUCAUAGUGGGGGAUAACAGUCGGAAACGACUGCUAAUACCGCAUAGGACAUAGGAUCACAUGAUCCAGUGAGGAAAGGUGGCGCAAGCUAUCGCUAAGAGAUGGACCCGCGGUGCAUUAGCUAGUUGGUAGGGUAACGGCCUACCAAGGCGAUGAUGCAUAGCCGACCUGAGAGGGUGAUCGGCCACAUUGGGACUGAGACACGGCCCAAACUCCUACGGGAGGCAGCAGUAGGGAAUCUUCCGCAAUGGACGCAAGUCUGACGGAGCAACGCCGCGUGAGUGAAGAAGGUCUUCGGAUCGUAAAGCUCUGUUGUUAGAGAAGAACAG